rnacentral:rRNA from 3 species
UCGAGUGACGAUGGCGGAGAGGACACACCCGUUCCCAUGCCGAACACGGAAGUUAAGCUCUCCAGCGCCGAUGAUAGUCGGGGGCUCUCCCCCUGUGAAAGUAGGACGUCGCUCGGC